UACGUAGGGGGCAAGCGUUGUCCGGAAUCAUUGGGCGUAAAGCGCGUGUAGGCGGUUCGGUAAGUCUGCUGUGAAAGUCCAGGGCUCAACCCUGGGAUGCCGGUGGAUACUGUCGGGCUAGAGUGCGGAAGAGGCGAGUGGAAUUCCCGGUGUAGCGGUGAAAUGCGCAGAUAUCGGGAGGAACACCGGUGGCGAAGGCGGCGACCUGGGUCGAUACUGACGCUGAUGCGCGAAAGCGUGGGGAGCAAACAGG
rnacentral:rRNA from 1 species